CGGCGGACGGGUGAGUAACGCGUGGGUAACCUGCCUCAUACAGGGGGAUAACAGUUAGAAAUGACUGCUAAUACCGCAUAAGACCACAGCACCGCAUGGUGGCGGGGGUAAAAACUCCGGUGGUAUGAGAUGGACCCGCGUCUGAUUAGCUAGUUGGUAAGGUAACGGCUUACCAAGGCGACGAUCAGUAGCCGACCUGAGAGGGUGACCGGCCACAUUGGGACUGAGACACGGCCCAA
rnacentral:rRNA from 1 species